AAUGUGCAGAUUAUAGCGGCGCGGAGAAGAACGCCCCCGUUGGAUUGGGAUGCUCCAGUUCAUGGUGUUACUGCUAGCCAUGAAUGAUGAAGCCGCCUCAGCCUCGUCCCAUGGAGGCCAUUGCGACCUGAACAACUCCUCCUACGUGAACGGUUGUACCAUGCCGCUGGACCUAGAUAUAUGGGUAACAACUUCGACAGAUCUCGCUUAGACUGUGAUAGUAAAUUUCUGGAGGACAUGAACUCCGUCUGCUGGAAGAAGACGGAAUUCUGGGAACUUCCGCUGUGCCUGCUGUUUUCGACCUCUUUCUACCUGAUAGUGCGGACUGUGUCCGAGAGUUACUUUGUUUAUGAUUAUUCUGACCACUGCCAAGCCCCCUGGGUGAAGCCAUGCAUUAAAGUUUACUAUGGACAGUAGAUUUAACAUUCUAGAGCUGUGUGAAGUUUGUUUGAUCUAGUCUGUGGUCUUUUUUCUUAUAAGUUAUUACAAUUUUUUGUCUAGUCUAUGGUUUUUUUUUCUUAUAGGUUAUUACAAUUUUGCUCAAAUUGUU
rnacentral:misc_RNA from 1 species